rnacentral:lncRNA from 1 species
GGACAGGACGGGACAGGACAGAGCGUCCUAUCCUGUCCCAUCUUUUUUCCAUUAGCCUUGUUCACGCUAGUAACUAUGUCACAGCUUUAUACAUGAGUCAACCCCUGUAAGACCUCGUGCUCAGCAUUAUUCCAAAAGUCAGAGAGGCACAGGAGCCAGACCCUGCAUGGGAGUACCAUGAUGACGUGUCUCCCGAAACAAAUGAUUCAAACAAAUCGCCGACAUGUAGGGAAAAGUCAACCUUGGUUUCUGCCGUCACCCGGACACAGGGAAAAAUGGAGACUAUGAUGAAAAUCCCAUUAAUUUGUUCUUUCGAAGUUACCCGAGCCUAGCUAGUCGAGGAAUAAAAAAAGACCAAAGUCUUAAGAUCUGCUUUACUAAGACUGGCAAGCAGUCUUCUUCUAAGAAGGACACUAUCAGUUUUCUGAAGAUCUGGGUCUACUGAAUCACCAUUACCGUCUUUCUACAGGAAGAAAUUUUACACAAGUAGUCGUGCCAAGCAAAUUUCGACAACAAAUUUUGAAAGUUGCUCACGAAAGCAUCAUGGCUGGUCACCAAGGCGUCCGUCAUACAACUGUAUCCUCGGAGAUUUCUACUGGCCAGGGAUGCAUGAAGAUAUCAAGCUAUUUGUCAAGUCGUGUGACAUAUGAUACUGAUGAAGCAGCACACUUAAAACAGACAAGUUCACGGACACAUGAAAAAGGACAUACACAGGCGCUGGACUGCAACUACUACUUUAAUGCUCAAAGACAUGCCUUUUUGUAGUGUCGCUUGAGAAGCGCACGCGGUCUGACAGCAGUGAGGCGUGAACAAGACCCAGAACAACAAAUAGACAAACAUGACAUUUUUUAAAUUCCCACUCUAGAUAUAAUCGAAGUCAAAGGUAGCGGUGCACUUUUUCAGAGAAUGAUACCGAGGAGCAACUGAUACACCUGUCUUUCCAUUUGUCAAUUUCUAUUGCUUCAAGAA